UGUAUACAAUAAUUUCAUUAUUAUUAUUAUUAUAUAUAAGAUGUCAGAUGUAAACAAUGAGCUUGAAGACAAAAACGGGUAAUGAGUGUAUAUGCCAUAUUUCGGAGGGUUUUGCCCCUUCCUCAGCACCCAUCUAACCCAUUCUUGCCUCUGAACACAUUGGUUAUAUAGUCACCGCAUACAGCAGAGUUAAGUUAAUGGAUAUCCCAAUGUUAUGAGAUAUUGAUAAUGAUUUUUAGCUUUACAUAUAUACACUUAUUUAUCGGUUGCUAAAGUAGUUAAUUAGUGUUGAUAGGAUGCACUGUGUGUGUACCUACGAAUCAUUAAAAUUCUUAAAACUGGCCCAAGUCUAUAUGUAUGCGUGGUGGAAAUGCAUUGAGAAAUAUAAUUUAUCUAGGUUAGGUUAGUCUCUGGCGUCUUUCAUUCUAUUAUUCAGAGAAAUAAUUUUAAAUAUUGAUAUGGUUUAUGUAGCACACUUAUGUUAUACGCACACACACACACACUUUCUACACCACUUACAGCUAUAUACACAAACACACAUUAUGUAUGUACAUGGUGUGUAGGUAUGUAUAUACCUGACAAUGGCCAAGCAACUUUCUCUUGUGUUUAUUGACCUAAAUAAGUUCUUUUAACAUACAUCUGUGCUUUUCAAUAGGAAAACAAACAGCUGUGAGUGAGAAUUUGAGAAUUAGCUGAGCUUUUAUGAAGGAACUAAAAGUAGGACAAGUAUUGUUCUAUACAAGGAGUUUUUGGUCUUCAUGUAUGCUCAUUAAUGGUUCAUUUUCUGUCCCUUUAACAUCAUCCUUUGACUAGCCCCCUACCCCAAAAUUUUAGCUCUUAUUCCUAUAGUAAGAAUUUUUAGUUAAUUCAGGAACUGUAGAAUAAGGUAUAGAUUACGGUAUCAGGCGAGGGAGUUACUUCUGCUGCUGACACAAUAACUCUCUAAGAAGGUAUAGAAUAGGGGUUCUCUACCAGGGUCCAUAUAAAAUUUUGUUGUUAAAAUUUAUCUGCUAUAAAUUGGUUAUAUUUCCACAGUACAUAAAAUAUUUAAACUUUUUUUUUUAAGAAGUUGUUCUUAAUAAUACUUAAUUGUAAAAGUGUAAUAGGAUUUUCUAAACAUCGAGAGACUAUGAGGGUCCUGUUGAGUAAAAUAGGAAUCAAGGGCACAACGUGGUUGAGAACCACUGAUGUAGGAUGUACUUCAUUUGGAAAGGCAUGAGUUGAGUACGGCCAGAUUGGAUGUGAAGUAUGAGAUAAAGGAGAGUUUUGGUUGAGAGUGAGCUCAAUAAAUGACUGGUCAGUAUAUAGUAGAUAGAGAGGGAAGGUGAUUUCAUUUGUCAUAUGGAUCAUGAUGAAAUGUUUAGAAAUGAGAAUGGAUGCGAGCCAAAGAUGCUCUGGUAUGUCUCAGGAUGAGACAAUCCACAGUUGAAGUGCUUGGUGACGACAUAGCUGUUUCAAAAACCUAUUUUUUCACAGUAAGAAAAUGAGCAUAAAUUUAAGGAUUUUAUUUUAAAUGUUACUUUAGUUAAUAUUUCUCUUGUUGUGACUGAACACUUUUAUUUAUUUAUUUUUCCAAGGUUAAUUUUGAGUUACGACUAAUUUGUUUAUAACAAUGGUUUUGUUCGUUAGUGGCGUUCUGAACCUAAUUUCUUUUGUCUCCUUGUAGUUGAAAAACAGCAUUUUACUGUUUUCAGUGUUUAUUAAUUGCAGCUGUACCUGAUUAAAACAUUGCUCGUUGUAGCUUCUGAAAAUAUUUCAGUGCAGAUAAAGCAAUGAAUUAGCAAACAAAAAUGUUAUAAAGAUAUAAAUAUACAGUAAAAGCGUAAUUUAUAAGGACUGCUAAAUAGUAUUGAAUGUAGAUGUGUACUUUAUUUACAGAAAAACCC